rnacentral:rRNA from 2 species
UCAUGGCUCAGGACGAACGCUGGCGGCGUGCCUAAUACAUGCAAGUCGAGCGGACAGAUGGGAGCUUGCUCCCUGAUGUUAGCGGCGGACGGGUGAGUAACACGUGGGUAACCUGCCUGUAAGACUGGGAUAACUCCGGGAAACCGGGGCUAAUACCGGAUGGUUGUUUGAACCGCAUGGUUCAAACAUAAAAGRUGGCUUCGGCUACCACUUACAGAUGGACCCGCGGCGCAUUAGCUAGUUGGUGAGGUAACGGCUCACCAAGGCAACGAUGCGUAGCCGACCUGAGAGGGUGAUCGGCCACACUGGGACUGAGACACGGCCCAGACUCCUACGGGAGGCAGCAGUAGGGAAUCUUCCGCAAUGGACGAAAGUCUGACGGAGCAACGCCGCGUGAGUGAUGAAGGUUUUCGGAUCGUAAAGCUCUGUUGUUAGGGAAGAACAAGUACCGUUCGAAUAGGGCGGUACCUUGACGGUACCUAACCAGAAAGCCACGGCUAACUACGUGCCAGCAGCCGCGGUAAUACGUAGGUGGCAAGCGUUGUCCGGAAUUAUUGGGCGUAAAGGGCUCGCAGGCGGUUUCUUAAGUCUGAUGUGAAAGCCCCCGGCUCAACCGGGGAGGGUCAUUGGAAACUGGGGAACUUGAGUGCAGAAGAGGAGAGUGGAAUUCCACGUGUAGCGGUGAAAUGCGUAGAGAUGUGGAGGAACACCAGUGGCGAAGGCGACUCUCUGGUCUGUAACUGACGCUGAGGAGCGAAAGCGUGGGGAGCGAACAGGAUUAGAUACCCUGGUAGUCCACGCCGUAAACGAUGAGUACUAAGUGUUAGGGGGUUUCCGCCCCUUAGUGCUGCAGCUAACGCAUUAAGCAC